AGAAUCUACAAGAAGAGCGUCCUCAUCCAACUGAAUUAUCAGAGAAUUACAGGAGUCAAAAUGAAAGUGAUCUUCCAGUCCUUCCUUUACUGCUGUCUACUGGCGACAGUAGCACACUGUGUGGAACUUGAAGUUAAUCCGGAGUU